AUGGAUUAGGAUUGUGGGAGAGAAUCCUUAUUUGACUUGGUUGUAAGUGUUUUCUUAUUAGUUUUCGAUUGGAUUAUAAGAAACUAAAUUAAUUUAAUAACUAGAAUUCUAUUCCUUGUGGGUUUGGGUUUAAUACUUGGGUACGAUUUUUCUAUUAUAAAUAUGGAUGAUUUCUCAUGUUGAAAUAUUUCAGGUUUUUGUGAGAGAUUGCAAGAUCAUACAAUACCAUAGACAUGGAUCAUAGCUAUGCCUACUGUUGUUGGGAGGACGAGAAAAUUUUUGCCACACCCUCUUGUGGGCCGAUUGAUGAUGGCAUUUAUGUUCAACUACAAUUUUCUAAUGAACUCAAGAAACCUACUCGUGGCAGCGAUAGUAUUGGCAAGAACCACGAUAGUGAUGUUAUACUGCUAGACUCAUAUAGUUGGGUAUUUUUUUUCAGUCGCAACGAUUUUCUAGAGAGCGAGAACAUGAAAGUAUUUUUGUUUGGUCAUUUACAUUGUAGGAAUUUACCCUCGAGUAUUGAAGAGUCAAUAAUAAAUGAGGUGCGCAGAUUUGCUCGUGUAAUGGUGAAUUUGUACCCAAACCCAAAAGUAUUGCCGAUUGUUCUAGAUGUUGUGGUUAGAACAUUUCAAAGACCUGAUUUGAGCGUGGAAGAGGCGGUUGCCAGGAUUAUGAGAGAAAUUAUGAGAGAACCCAA